GGGGGUGUACUGGUUUCGACGGGGAUUGUCGGGGAUCGGGUAAGCGAGCUGCGGACCCUGGCCGCAUAAAAACGGGGAAUUAAAAUUAACUGACAACAAUCAGUACGUUCUCGCGGCGGCUUAACGCUGCGCGUCGGCCUCAAGCGCCUACUGCUUGAGUCACCGGCGUCGUGAAGUAGGGUACGGAUGCGCUUAAGCUUUGCGGCGCAUCGGCACUAUGAAGCUACUGAAAUCAUCAGCCGGUGCGUAGGCGGAUGACGGAGGGAAUGUCAAAUCUCGCACUGCGCUCGGAGAAAACCCGGUAAACGAGUCUUCGGACAGGAGUUCGAUUCUCCUCACCUCCACCA
rnacentral:tmRNA from 1 species